rnacentral:lncRNA from 1 species
CUACAACUUUGCAGAAGAAAGAUUUUUCAAAUUCCAAACAGAAAAUAUUCGAAAUCCACAAACAGAUGAUUUUAAACACCUCUUAAAAUUCAUAACAAAUCAUACGCUAAUUUUUAACGGUUCAAAAUUUUAUGGACAUAUACUCAACUUAUAUAUGUAUAACAUAUCCAAAAAUCACAACGAUCCAACGGUCGGAGAAAAAUUAUAACUCACGCAAUAGAGCUUUAAGAACACCGAUUUGAUUUUUU